GCAGCUAUGGUCUAACGGCUGAUGAUUUCGCAUUGCCAGUGCGAAGGUGCGAGUUCGAUUCUCGCUAGCUGCUCAA
rnacentral:tRNA from 1 species